GCUGGUUUGGCUCAGUGGAUAGAGUGUUGGCCUGAGAACUGAAGGGUCUCAGGUUCGAUUCCUGUCAAAAGCA
rfam:Myotis lucifugus cont2.34887, whole genome shotgun sequence.